rnacentral:tRNA from 1 species
GUUAUUGUAGCUUAUUACAAAGCAUGGCACUGAAGUUGCCAAGAUGGGUUGUUAUCAUAUCCCAAAAACA